UGGCCUUGGCUCACUGUUUCACAUAAGAUGGUCACACACGCACCACCACAAUUGCUUUAACUCUCAGAAGAGUGUUUGCAAUUUUGCAUAAGAUCUUGCAGAAGUGUGCCUGCAUGAUGGCACUCCAUGUUCCGCUCCAUUUGGCAGAGGGUUGAUGCUCUUGGUAUCAGAGCUGUGAAGUGAUUACAUUUCCCUAUUCUCUGGCACGGACAAUGCACAAAGAUGGGCCCAGGUGAAUGGCCAUAGAAAACUCAUUUCCCACUUGUAGUCUACCACUUGGGUCUUUCAUUUCCCUUUCCAUUCCUUUUGCUUUUCUUCCUUCCAUUGGCCACAGUGGAUCAAUUUCCAAUUAUGAUGUCCUCUUAACCUGUUUCAGGUGCUGUUGUUCAUGUAGCUCAUUACUAAUCUAAGAUGGCAUCAUUGAUGGGGACAGCAAGUGAGAGCAGGAAGGAGAGGAGAUGGUGGUGAAAAGCAUGCAGCCUUUGGGCACAGACCUGGGUCAAAUUGUGCCCCUGGUACCUACUACCUGUGGGACCGUGAGCAACUGUCUUCAUUAACAGGUAUCUCUAUUUCCUUCCAGAGGAAUCUGAGGGUAAUAAUGUCCUCACCAUAAACUCCAAGGAAAGGGCACCCACAUCUCAUACUCUCUUCUGGAGCCUUCAGAGGGAACCCAACCCUGCCAGCAUCUUGAAUUUAUCCCAGUGAGACCCUUUUCAGACUUCUGACCUCCAGUACUGUAAGGAGAAGCUGAGAGCCAACACAGACCAAGAUGCUUGGAGACACUGGGAGAUGCAGACAAAAGG